rnacentral:rRNA from 1 species
AUUGAACGCUGGCGGCAUGCCUUACACAUGCAAGUCGAACGGUAACAGGUUAAGCUGACGAGUGGCGAACGGGUGAGUAAUAUAUCGGAACGUGCCCAAUCGUGGGGGAUAACGCAGCGAAAGUUGUGCUAAUACCGCAUAAGAUCUACGGAUGAAAGCGGGGGGAUCGCAAGACCUUCGCGCGAGUGGAGCGGCCGAUAUCAGAUUAGCUAGUUGGUGGGGUAAAGGCCCACCAAGGCGACGAUCUGUAGCUGGUCUGAGAGGACGACCAGCCACACUGGGACUGAGACACGGCCCAGACUCCUACGGGAGGCAGCAGUGGGGAAUUUUGGACAAUGGGCGCAAGCCUGAUCCAGCAAUGCCGCGUGCAGGAUGAAGG